UACGUAGGUGGCAAGCGUUGUCCGGAAUUAUUGGGCGUAAAGAGCGCGUAGGCGGGAUAGUCAGUCUGUUGUAAAAGUGCGGGGCUCAACCCCGUGAUCGCAAUGGAAACAGCUAUUCUUGAGUGCAGGAGAGGAAAGUGGAAUUCCCAGUGUAGCGGUGAAAUGCGUAGAUAUUGGGAGGAACACCAGUGGCGAAGGCGACUUUCUGGACUGUGUCUGACGCUGAGGCGCGAAAGCCAGGGGAGCGAACGGG
rnacentral:rRNA from 1 species